rnacentral:rRNA from 1 species
GAUGAACGCUGGCGGCGUGCUUAACACAUGCAAGUCGAACGGUGAACGAGGGAGCUUGCUCCCUCCGGAUCAGUGGCGAACGGGUGAGUAACACGUGAGCAAUCUGCCCUGGACUCUGGGAUAAGCGUUGGAAACGACGUCUAAUACCGGAUACGAGACGUGGGGGCAUCCCCAACGCCUGGAAAGAACUUCGGUCCAGGAUGAGCUCGCGGCCUAUCAGGUAGUUGGUGAGGCAAUGGCUCACCAAGCCUACGACGGGUAGCCGGCCUGAGAGGGUGACCGGCCACACUGGGACUGAGACACGGCCCAGACUCCUACGGGAGGCAGCAGUGGGGAAUAUUGCACAAUGGGCGAAAGCCUGAUGCAGCAACGCCGCGUGAGGGACGACGGCCUUCGGGUUGUAAACCUCUUUUAGCAGGGAAGAAGCGAAAGUGACGGUACCUGCAGAAAAAGCACCGGCUAACUACGUGCCAGCAGCCGCCGUAAUAC